GACGAACGCUGGCGGCGUGCUUAACACAUGCCAGUCGAACGGAAAGGCCCUGCUUUUGUGGGGUGCUCGAGUGGCGAACGGGUGAGUAACACGUGAGUAACCUGCCCUUGACUUUGGGAUAACUUCAGGAAACUGUGGCUAAUACCGGAUAGGAGCUCCUGCUGCAUGUUGGGGGUUGGAAAGUUUCGGCGGUUGGGGAUGGACUCGCGGCUUAUCAGCUUGUUGGUGGGGUAGUGGCUUACCAAGGCUUUGACGGGUAGCCGGCCUGAGAGGGUGACCGGCCACAUUGGGACUGAGAUACGGCCCAGACUCCUACGGGAGGCAGCAGUGGGGAAUAUUGCACAAUGGGCGGAAGCCUGAUGCAGCAACGCCGCGUGCGGGAUGACGGCCUUCGGGUUGUAAACCGCUUUCGCCUGUGACGAAGCGUGAGUGACGGUAAUGGGUAAAGAAGCACCGGCUAACUACGUG
rnacentral:rRNA from 1 species